GGCUAGCUAACACCUUAUUAAGGUCAACAUCAAACUAACAAGAAAUAUUAACUAAAAUAAAGGAUGCCUUAGUUGAAUUCAUUUAAGUUUUAGCAACAAAUCGAAGAUUAACGAGGCCUCUACCAAAAAUUUAGAAGUACAAGUUGGACAAAAUGGCUAAGCAGUUGGAUCACUAAUAAGAAAAUAAAUUUUCAGCCAACACUCAAGAACAUUAC
rnacentral:lncRNA from 1 species